UGUAACUAUAUUACACACUCAUCAAACACUCUCAGAUUCGCAUUUCUUCCUUCCCUGACACCAACCUUCAUCCACCAUCAACGUACAUUUUCUUCUCUCGCCCCCUCACGUUCAAAGGGCUAAGCGUCAAUCCCAAGAGCUUUCCCGCCCCGCUUAAAGCGUCGAUGACGGAGACCAACAGCGUUGCCGUCGAGGUCUUCGAAAAAGAGGAUAUUGCCGACUCUCUGGCCAAAUACGUCGCCGAUCUCUCCAAUAAAUUCACUUUGGAAAGGAGGACUUUCACAUUUUGCUUGUCUGGUGGCUCUUUGAUCAAGUAUUAUCUUUUAUAUAAAAAUGUUCUCACUUUGAGCCUAAGCGUGAUUUGAUUGAAUUGGAUUGGAUUAAUGUGAAUGUGUUUUGUCUUGGGUUCUCACGAAACUGCUGGAACCGCUCUAUGUUGAUUCUCUUGAAUGGUCCAAAUGGCAAGUGUUUUGGAUGGAUGAUAGUUACUACUAUCUUGCUUUGGAUGGACUUCUCUCCAAGAUAUAUUGCACUGCGGCAACAUGUGUUGUUGAGGAGUAGAGGGGAACAUUUAAGGAACCACCAGCCUGGGUGACGGGUGUAGAAGGAGAAGAGAGAUUGUGGCUGAGCCUAGAAGUGAAGAAAAGGCAAAAUAAAGACAUUAGAGCUAUGUAGAGGUAGAAUUUGCUUUCAAAGAAGAUUGUAUUGCUGCUAAAGGAAACCAUCCAUGGCAAUCAAAGAAAUAGCGCGAACUGGUUGGAGGGAAAAGCACAAACUGCAGCUACCAAUUCCUCUGGGCAAAAUGUGUAUGCAAUCAAUGAUACCCGUUCAGCUGAGAGAGUCAGAUGAUUAUGAGACACGUCUCAGACAAUUGGUCAAUAACAGUGUGAUUACUUCAUCACCGACGAGUGAAUUUUCAAAAAUUUGAUCUUGUGCUGCUGGGCAUGGGCCCUCCACGUAGCUUCUUUGUUCUCAGGGCAUCCUCUUGUGCAGGAGAAUACAAGAUGGGUUGCCUUCAUCAAGGACUCCCCCAAACCACCCCGAGAGAGAAUAACUUUCACCUUUCCAGUGAUUAAUGCCUCUGUUUACGUAGCCCUUUUGGUCUCGGCUAUGGUAAAGCAGAUGCAUUUCACUCUGUAUUAGGCAAAUAUCCAAAUUCUGUAAAGCUUCCUGCUGCAUUGGUUUUCCC